GUUUUAUGAAGAGGAGAAAAAGGAGAAAACUGAGCAGAGAAAGGCAGGGUCUCAAAAAGGGUUGAAGGAAUCCAAGAAGUCAGAACUGUGCUGAAGGAAAAUCUAGAAGUCAAGAACACCAAAAAGCGUGGUGAUUGAUUCAACCUUCCUUGAGUAGGGGAUCAUUCAUCUACAGUAAUCAGACUGGAAUCACUGUGGGACUGAUCAUUACACUCUCGAUGGUAAAAUACAUACUAUAUAUUGCUUAGGUUAGUCUGCAUUAGUGAUUUCAAUGACUCUUUUAGAAGGGGUAUGGCCCAGACGAUUGAUGGUGGGUGAAAUUGCACAUCAGCACUUUUAAAAAUGGCAUUGAAAACUGGAGGAGGUGCCGCAGUAAGAUCCAAGUUGUUUGGAGACAUAGUUGAAUUGUGAAACGUGGAUUGGUUAUAUCAAGCCUAGGUCAGUGAAAAAUCGAAUGAGCGGCAGCUGGAUUAUUUUGGAGAGAGGUUCCUGAACUUAAUCAAUCACUCUAUUGCAAAACUACUUGAAUCAAGGCCUAAUCUGAUGUACCUAAGAAAACUUUUAGACUAAUUGAAAAUGCACAUGUUGAGAAUUUAUUCAUGAUGUCAUUUAUUUCACAUAGUUUUGACA